rnacentral:misc_RNA from 1 species
GGCAAUUACUUGGAAUUUGUUUCAAGUUGGAAUCAAACAAUGGAACUCAAUACAUGCAGGGAAAGAUAUAUCCUGCCAAUGGUAUGCUUCAAUUGCAUUAAAAAUCUCGACUUAUUAUUACAUUGAGAGCACUGUCCUUGCUAUUCAAAAUAUACAAAAAUAAUCAAUGAAGAGGACGGCACAUUUGCUAAUGCAUUUCGUCCUUCAUACAAAUUUUACACUUGAAAAAGUGCCUUCUUUUCAUUCAUAGGUUUAGAAGGUGAAGACUGUCCUUUUGCCCUCCAAUCAGUGACACAACUGUGGCUGCAAUAUGCUUUGGACUGAGUCCUGCCUCUUCUAUCUGGUCUGCUUGAGAUCCAUGGUCGAUGUAUCUGUCAGGAAGCACCAUAGACCUCAACUUAAGAUUUCCAUCUAGCAAUCCAUUUAAGCACAAGAAAUGAGUAACAUGAGAGCCAAAUCCUCCAAUGGAUCCUUCUUCGGCGGUGAUGAGUAUCUCAUGCUCUUGAGCUAGCUGCCCGAUUAACUCUCCAUCAAGAGGUUUGCAGAAUCUGGCAUCAGCUAUUGUAGCUGUGAUGCCAAAUUUCUGAAGAAGAUCAGCUGCAGCCAAGCAACUUUGUACUAUUGUUCCAUAGCCAAGAAUGGCAACUCUGCUUCCCUCUCUUAGAAUUCUUCCUUUACCAAUCUCCAAAGGUGUCCCCUUGUUGUUAGGUGGAAGAGUGGUACCAAUGCCAUUUCCUCUAGGGUACCUAAAGCAACAAGGACGGUCAUCAAUGGCUGCAGCUGUAGCCACCAUAUGCAUCAGUUCAGUCUCAUCAGAAGGAGCCAUAACCACCAUGUUAGGUAAACAAGCCAUGUAAGUAACAUCGAAAGCUCCGCAAUGGGUUGGACCAUCUGCACCCACAAGGCCAGCCCUAUCUAAUGCAAAUCUCACUGGAAGCUUUUGAAGGUCCACAUCAUGAACAACCUGAUCAUAACCUCUUUGAAGGAAAGAUGAGUAUAUAGCACAGAAAGGUUUUAGGCCUUCAGUUGCUAGACCAGCAGCAAAGGUAACAGCAUGUUGUUCUGCAAUCCCAACAUCGAAACAUCUAUCUGGGAAUUGUUUCUGGAACAAAUUAAGCCCUGUGCCUCCUCCCAUUGCAGCAUGGAUGGCUACAAUCUUAUCAUCUCUUUCUGCUUCAGCAAUCAGAGACUCCGCAAAGUAUUGAGUGUAGGAACGAGUACUUGAUUUGGACUUCAAUUGUUUUCCAGAAGUUGGAUCAAAUUUCACAACACCAUGCAUCUUAUCAGCAGCUAUCUCAGCUGGAGUAUAACCCUUCCCCUUCUCGGUGAUCACAUGGAUAAGAACAGGUCCUGGUGCUGGCAAUGACUUGACCUUCUUUAAUAUAGUUACAAGGUCCUCCACGCUAUGCCCAUCUACAGGACCAAUAUAGUACAAUCCUAGCUCUUCAAAUAAGCUAGCGCCAGUACCAGCUGCCAUUCCUCUCACAUAGGAAUCAACUUUAGCUGCAAUUUCAUGUGUUUGCCCUCCAAUUUGCUUUGUGAUGCCCUUUGCAGCUUCGCGUAGCUGGCGAAGCUUUCUGCUUGAUUGUAGCUUUGUCAAGGCUUUGCUCAGAGCACCAACAGGAGGAGCAGGACCAUCCACAGUAGCAGUAGGCAAAGAAACUUGCUUAUUGUCAUUCAAGAUUAUAAUGAGAUUUGAAUCCAGAUAUCCUGCAUUGUUCAUUGCCUCAUAUGCCUGUCCUGCUGUCAUGGCGCCAUCACCUAUAACUGCAAUCACAUGAUUGUCCUUCCCCACCAAGUCUCUACCAACAGCCAUACCUAUCCCAGCUGAAAUGCUAGUAGAACUGUGUCCAGCUCCAAAGGCAUCAUGUUCACUUUCAUCCCUCUUGGGAAACCCUGCAAGCCCAAAAGUUUGUCGAAUUGUAUUCAUUCUUGAUCUCCUUCCUGUUAAAAUCUUAUGCGGGUAGGCCUGAUGGCCAACAUCCCAGAUGAUUUUGUCUUCAGGAGUAUUAAAUACAUGGUGAAGUGCCACUGUUAUCUCCGCAACUCCUAAGCUUGAACUCAAGUGCCCUCCGGUUUUUGAAACUGUAUAAACUAUCUCUUCUCGAAGUUCAUCAGCCAAUACCUCAAGCUCCUGAACGGAAAGAUUUUUCAUGUGAAUUGGAUAGUUUAUAGUAUCAAGAAUUGGUGUAGAUGGCUUAUUUCCAGAGAAGUUAAGCGAUCUUCUCUGCUUUGCUUCCUGCUCUCUUAUAACCAUAGCACUAUUAUCAUCACUUGCAUUAUUAUCCAAAGCAGCUACUACUGCUCCAUGAAACUUUCGCUUGGUUUUGGAGACAUUGGUUGUAGUGGGUUUAUGAGGCAGCAGCUGACCAGAGAAAGAAUGGGUAUCUUGAGCAAAAGCCGAAGGAAAAAGAAAACUUGAUCUGAGAAUUGAAGUAGCAGCCAUAUCUAGGUUGUUAAAAAAGAUAAACAGUUAAUUAAUCGAGAGUAGCUGAAGCUUGAGAACAAGAAGAAGAAGAAGAAGACUGUUGCUAUGGUGGCUAGCUAGGUAGAGAUAUGAUGAGUGUUAAGGAAAGUAGAGAGAAGGGCUUAAAAGGAGAUGAAGAAAAUGCAAAGAGACAUUUCUUGGGAAAUAUUUUAAAGGGAAGAGUAAGAAAAUGAAAAGUGCCAUGGAAGGUGCAGGCUUCAAGGCUUCAACGUUUUUG